CCCUUCAGAGGGGGACAACAGUUGGAAACGACUGCUAAUACCGCAUACGAUCUAAUCUCGGCAUCGAGGAUAGAUGAAAGGUGGCCUCUACAUGUAAGCUAUCACUGAAGGAGGGGAUUGCGUCUGAUUAGCUAGUUGGAGGGGUAACGGCCCACCAAGGCGAUGAUCAGUAGCCGGUCUGAGAGGAUGAACGGCCACAUUGGGACUGAGACACGGUCCAA
rnacentral:rRNA from 1 species